GUGUGUGUGCGCAGGCGAGUGGAG
rnacentral:piRNA from 1 species